CCUAGGAAUUUUCUGACUCGCUUGAAGGCCCAGACACCUGCAUGCUGACUUCCUUCUUUCAGCUGAGCUCAGAGGUUCUCAAGCUUCACCUUGCAGAAGAAUGGCUGCUCAGAGUUGCAGAGAGAAAACCACACGCGUCUAUGAACACCCCGUCUGAGAGUCUUACUUAACCGGAUACACCAAGCAAAGCUGCACAAAACCAAGAAGGAGCUGGUCCGCUGCAGAGCAGGACUUUUCAAAGGCAGCGACAUUGCACCUCUCCUGGCGAGCAACCGCACGGCUUCUAAGGUAGCAACCACAGGCAGGAAAGCAUUCUAAACAAACCACGGCUUGCUUCCUUGUCCUUCUGCCAUUUCAUCAUGGCCUUGCCCCCAAACCUCUGCUCAGAGGCAUCGGCCACAAAGCAAGCAUUGCAAAAGGAGCUGUCGGCCAAAACAGAAGCAAAAGGAAAGCACUUGUUACUACAUCCAGUUGAGAUUCAGGACAGAAACAGCGAUCCAAACCCACAAAUCAGCCU